rfam:Gossypium raimondii Chr01_contig_147, whole genome shotgun sequence.
UGUUAAAAGUUUCAUCCAAUUUUACUUUUAAAUAUUGGCAUAGCUAAUGAAAUAACCAAAUAAUUAUACGUGACAUGUCAUGUGUAUCUCAUGCAGAAGUAGAGGAAUCAAUUAUUAACCGUAAAACUAGAUGAAAUUUUUAACA